UACAGGUCCGUGUAAGAAUCAGGCAAAUCAAAUAAAAACUGAUAAGUCCAUAUACACGGAAUAUGGUGAAAUUUUGGGAACUUUGUAAUCCAUUAAUAAAAGUGACAAAACCAUAGUAUUACAUCGAUGUAUGCCAUAUUUGUCUAGAAAAAAAUAGAUUGAAUGCAUUCGCCGUCUGCAUCUACGACAGUGUAAUGCAUUGAAAGUAGGUCAACUUUGAUAUUGAUUUUCUGUAAACAGCAGAUGCCUAGCACACAAUUUUUUUUAUAUUUGAAAUCAUUUGAUACAUAUCUUCUCUUUCAAUGAAUAAAAAGUUUGGAAAUUUUUAUUUGAAAAAUGUUAUUCACUAAAGUAAAAUCAUCGAAACGCGUCAUUGACUGUAUUGUUUAUCUCCCUUGCUUGGUUACCUCUUUUUAAAAAAGGCGCGUAAUCUGCACAACAACAAUAACAAAUGGCAGACGAGAUGGUCCCGCCGGACAUGAAGGGCAGUAUAAGUCUGUUUUAACCUAUUCAUGUGGGGUUUACUCCUUUAUGUAAUCAGGAUAAAAGUGUACGAAAGCUCGCUGAAUGUUAUAAGACAUAACGCCGCGGCAUUGACAGAUCUCGGACUGUGUGGAGGUUGCCAGACUACACGAACCAGCCGUGGACAAUGCCAAUGAAGGAGAGUUGAUAGCACUGAUAUGUGGUAUUUUCAGCAUAGAAUUGUCACCCAUGUUUUAGAAUCUGUGAAACAGGAUUGGUUGUGUGUGGCUUCACUUCUUCAGAAUUUUAUAAUGACUAUAAAUAUCAACUUCCUUAAAGUAAGAAGUUAGAUCUUCUAUCAGAUAAUGCAGCAUGCUACAUUUACCACUGUGGACAUACAUGUAUCUGGUUAUGCUUACAAGAAAUAAGUAAAAGAACAGGGAUCAAUAUUCAGGGGUAUUGCUAGUCUGAAGCCCAUGCAGGAAAGUGAUAUUGUGAUUCAAAGAUGGCAAAUAUGUGCAAAAAGAUGAAA